rnacentral:ncRNA from 1 species
UUGGAAAUUUGAAGGGACCUGCUCCUAGUACGAGAGGACCGGAGUGGACAGAUCUCUGGUGUACCGGUUGUCACGCCAGUGGCAUUGCCGGGUAGCUAAAUCUGGAAGAGAUAACCGCUGAAAGCAUCUAAGCGGGAAACUCGCCUUGAGAUAAGAUUUCCCUGGGGGUUCAACCCCCCUAAAGAGUCGUUCGAGACCAGGACGUUGAUAGGCUGGGUGUGGAAGCGCAGUAAUGCGUUAAGCUAACCAGUACUAAUUGCUCGUGAGGCUUGAUCCU